ACCANCCGCGGUAAUUCCAGCUCCAAUAGCGUAUAUUAAAGUUGUUGCAGUUAAAAAGCUCGUAGUUGAAUUUCGGGGUUAGUAGGUUGGUCAUGCCUCUGGUAUGUACCGGUCUCACUGAUUCCUCCUUCCUGAUGAGCCGUAAUGCCAUUAAUUUGGUGUUGCGGGGAAUUUGGACUGUUACUUUGAAAAAAUUAGAGUGUUUAAAGCAAGCUAACGCUUGAAUACAUUAGCAUGGAAUAAUGAAGUAGGACGUUCGAUCCUAUUUUGUUGGUUUCUAGGAUUGACGUAAUGAUUAAUAGGGAUAGUUGGGGGCAUUAGUAUUCAAUUGUCAGAGGUGAAAUUCUUGGAUUUAUUGAAGACUAACUACUGCGAAAGCAUUUGCCAAGGAUGUUUUCAUUAAUCAAGAACGAAAGUUAGGGGAUCGAAGACGAUCAGAUACCGUCGUAGUCUUAACCAUAAACUAUGCCGACUAGGGAUCGGAUGAUGUUAAUUUUUUAAUGACUCA
rnacentral:rRNA from 1 species